GCGGUGGAGUAUGUGGUUUAAUUCGACGCAACGCGAAGAACCUUACCAGCUCUUGACAUGUCAGGUCGGUUUCCAGAGAUGGAUUCCUCCCAGCAAUGGGCCUGAACACAGGUGCUGCAUGGCUGUCGUCAGCUCGUGUCGUGAGAUGUUGGGUUAAGUCCCGCAACGAGCGCAACCCUCGCCAUUAGUUGCCAUCAUUAAGUUGGGCACUCUAGUGGGACUGCCGGUGAUAAGCCGGAGGAAGGUGGGGAUGACGUCAGGUCAUCAUGGCCCUUACGGGCUGGGCUACACACGUGCUACAAUGGCGGUGACAGUGGGCAGCAACUCAGCAAUGGGGAGCUAAUCUCAAAAAGCCGUCUCAGUUCGGAUUGGGGUCUGCAACUCGACCCCAUGAAGUCGGAAUCGCUAGUAAUCGCGGAUCAGCACGCCGCGGUGAAUACGUUCCCGGGCCUU
rnacentral:rRNA from 1 species